rnacentral:rRNA from 1 species
UACAGAGGGUGCGAGCGUUAAUCGGAUUUACUGGGCGUAAAGCGCGCGUAGACGGUUUUGUAAGUCAGAUGUGAAAUCCCUGGGCUCAACCUGGGAACUGCAUUUGAAACUGCAUGGCUAGAGUAUGGAAGAGGGAAGUGGAAUUUCCGGUGUAGCGGUGAAAUGCGUAGAUAUCGGAAGGAACACCAGUGGCGAAGGCGGCUUCCUGGGCCAAGACUGACGUUCAUGUGCGAAAGCGUGGGGAGCAAACAGG